AAGGCAUUGAACAGAAGCUGAAAUUGCAUUACAAAGUGAACUAAAUCUGUUCUACUACAUAGCACUGAACUGAAGCUGCAAAGUGGACUAUGUUGCAUUACAAAUGAACUAUAGCAGUGAAAGCGAGCUGCCGAUUGCCAAAUUCUAGUAUCCAUUCCACAUCCAUCCACAUACAUACAAAAGUAAUUACCGGAUACAUACAAAAGCAAAAUUCCAAGGACCAAAUGUUUGAUUUUAUUUGGACAAAAAGAAGACGAUAAGAAUCUAUGCCCACAUAAUUUCCAACAUUACCAAAAAACCAAAAACACCUAACUGAUAUCACAUAAUUUAUCGUGGCUGUGCAUCUUUCAAUUCGGCAGAUUUCGCUCGUUGUUGUGGUCAUGCCCUUGUCGAUCUCAAAUUGUCGGUGCACCACUUGGCUCACCCUCAAAUUGCACAUUUUCUUCGUGGUAAGUAACUUCGCUCCACUUGAAACGCUGCAACCUAUGUUUUCGUUCACAUAUCCCUUGCCGCCAUGUGUGAGCCACAAGUUAGAAAACACAUCUACAACACAAAAGGAUCACACAUUUUAAUUUAACCACAACCCAAAUGCAAAUUAGCAAAUCCAAACAGUAUAAUAUGAAAGUAAACAUCCCCCUUUCGAGGGGUUACGCAAACUAAGGCAUUAAAACUGCAUGCGGGAACUCUAAUUAGUUGAAUGUCACACAAUUCCAGGUAGUUCUGCAGUGAGGCUGCACCCGUCCCAAAACAUUUGUAAAAUCUUUAUUUUCAGUGAGGCUGAUCCUAAUGCCCAUAAGAUACUAUGAGAUCAGAAUAACUAUGUUCUUGGCUGCGUAUGAAAAUUUUUAUUUUCAGUCAAAAAAUAAAAAAUAAAAACAAAAACAAAAGAUCAGAAACAUAUGAAUGAUGAACAACAAAAUAAUCAUAAAAGCAUAAAAUCACAGAAGUGAAAUGGGUACGGCUUCAGCAAAAAAAUAAAAUAAAAUAAAAUAAAAUCUAUGUGAUUUUCAGCACGUUUCUAAACUUAUCGCACCCAAAAAAACACAAAAAGAGUUGGGAAAUUACCUUCGCGUCGUCCGUCCAUUAGCUCGUACUGUAGUGAAAUGGAUACGGCUUCUUCACGUUCGGUUGGGCUCUUUCAACAAUCAACAAAGGCAGGAAGAACCUUGGCUGAGUAAAAUUCUUUCGAGCUCAGUAGAUUUAGUGGCUUCGAUUUCGAUUGUUGGCUUUGUUUCGAUUUGGGGGAUUUAGGGCUUCGAUCUCGUAUUGGGUGGGGGAAGAUUGCAGGAGAGGGGAUGAAAUGAUUUGGGGUUCAGUGAAAGUGAAAGGCGUGAAUGAAUAUGGCAAAGACGUG
rnacentral:lncRNA from 1 species